AGGUAGAACGCGCUCCUGUCCGCUCGCGGUUUGUUCAAUUGUGCGGUGAGCCUAAAGUUGAAAAGUUUUUUAACAAGUAAAAUUAAUGAUUUCGCAUGAAAGUGGUCAUACAGUGAUUGGUUAUUGGACUUUUACUUCCUAAGAAAUCAAUAACUUCUUUCAAUCCGCAAUAAACUUGGAUUUAUAAUUGAACGGGCUUGGUGACACCAAUAUAUUGUUUGGAAAAAGCACUUGUGAUAGACGUGAAAAAUCUUCUGUCGAUCUGUAGAUUUGAAUAUACCUUCUGGACGUUUGAUGAUGGUUCCAUCUUGAGUUUUGGUACGAGGAGGAAUCGGCAUUUGAAACGCAGGAGCGUCACCGUACAGCAAAUCGUCUUCAUCAUCAACGCUUCCAGCAAGGAUAGGCUCUUCAAUUAUUUUUUCUUCCCUGGAAUCAGCGUCAUCGGUAUCGUCAGGAUGCUAACUUGAAUGUGACAAUGUAUUUUCGACUUACAAAUAGAAGAUUAGCAGGAUGAAUAUGCAGUCGGGCAGCACCUCUGGUUUCUCUGAGCGUUAACAGCAUCACUUGACCAUCUUCUGAGAGAAGUGUGACAUAUGGAUCAGCACAGCUGGCGUGUACAAUAGGACAACCCAGAUCGAUGGGUAUAUGUUGAAUCUGUGACAAAAGUUUGCUGCCGUUGAUGCUUAAGCGUAACUUACGCAUGACGUUAACACACUGGCAGCAGCCUUGUCAAAAUGAAAACCACGAACAGAUCGCAUGCUGUCCGCGAAAAGGGACAGAACAUACAAUUCACCGCUCUUCAAUGAUAUGACCAAACGAUCAGAGGAUAUGAAUGCCACCUGGGCACCUUCCAAGCUCAUUUUAACGCCCUCCUGAGGCUCUGUAAACAGGAACAAAACAUAUUACAACUUUCAAAAUAAGGAGAAAUUUGACAACUAAACGGCUGAGCAUUAAACCAGAUACUAACUGAGCGGAAAGUUGGUGCUGGUUUCUGCCAUACUAUUCAGUGAUACACCGUAUGGCGGGAUACUCUGAUUAAGAUAAAUCAGAGAAUUUACAGCCAUGAUGAGAGUUCCACCAAGUGGUUUUCUCACAGCAACUGCCUGGCAGCAAUCAAAAGGCAGAUUUGAUACUGACCAAAUAAUUGGAUGAACUUUCUGUUGGAUGUUUAAGGAUAUUGCAACCAUAGCGCAGGUAUCUUGCCUGACCGCGAUACGCCUGAACAGAAAUUCAAUGUUAAGUCAAAUUUUAUGUCUGACAGGAAUCUGUACACUUAUAUUAACACUAGAUCAGUUGCAUACCCUGCAAACGUCCUGACUGGUUCAUAAAGGAUCAACAGAGUUGGCUCAUAAUAUCCGUGCAAAAAUUGCAAGUCUAUUAUGUUGUCCAUUUUUUCCUCUAACGUUUUCAGAACAAUCAUGUACGAAGACAAGAUUGGAGUUUUAUGCGAUGAUGAUGUCUUGGGGGCCUCAAGCAGAUCUCCAUCAUCGAUAAUCGGAUCCUUGCGAAAGGGAAGAACUACCAAUUUCCUACCGUAAACAAGCAUGACUGCGCAUCGUCCCUCGGGAUCUACCCUGACCAUAGUUAAAGCCAAAGAGUCAAGAGCACUGCUGCUCACCCGCAUUUCUUCCUCCUCGAAGUAAUGCAACGAUACUGUGCGGAGAUCAUGAGUGUCCAAGUCGUAUUCAACAACGGAAAGUUUUGCAUCUCUGAAGCUCAGGAGAAGAGAAUCCCUUUGGGAUCCAACAAGGCGAACCGCCUGCAUGGACAUUAUGUUGCCAUGCAGUGUAUAUUGGGCCAGACAUUCCAGUUUCAUUUUUGGUGGUCGUGAUUCUGUUAGACAAGAAUUAACUAUCAGUAUAAAUUGUAAUACUGAGUACAGGUUUGACGCAAGAACCGACCUGUGUAUUUUUCUUUCUUGGUGCCAUCGACGUCUGGUAUCAAACGGAAAGCUCUGAUGAUAUUCGCUCCAGCUACAACGAGGCAUUUUUCUGUUUGACUAAAGAAGCAGCAGGUGAUCGCGUGUUCGACACCCGUGGCUGGGUGCGUGCUUUUGCAAAUUGAAUACAUCUCUGUGCAUAGGUCCCGAUAAAUUGUCGGGGAAAGUCAGAUUAACAACAAUGAAACAUUGAGGUUAUAGCGAUCGCCGGCUCACGGAUUAAACAACAAUUCAAUGACUGACUUAUCGAUUCAACACGGUUUUAUUGCUUCUAGACAUUACAACAUCAAUUUUCCGCUACGUUGAUUAAUUUGAUAGAAUCGACCUCUAGCUGUUACGGCGGUUGAUUCGCCUAAAGCCGCAAUAACUUCACCUACGCCAUAGUUGGUGGUUAUAUAUCUGUAGUAGGCAAUCACGGUGC